rnacentral:rRNA from 1 species
UAAGGAAUAUUGGUCAAUGGACGCAAGUCUGAACCAGCCAUGCCGCGUGAAGGAAGACGGCCCUACGGGUGGUAAACUUCUUUUGUACGGGAAAAAAUCUCCGGUCGUGAAUCGGAGCUGAUGGUACCGUAAGAAUAAGCAUCGGCUAACUCCGGGCCAGAAGCCGCGGUAAUACGGAGGAUGCAAGCGUUAUACGGAGUCAUUGGGUUUAAUGGGUGCGCAGGCGGAAUGAUAAGUCAGUGGUGAAAUCCUACGGCUCAACUGUGGAACUGCCAUUGAUACUGUCGUUCUUGAGUACACUUGGAGUGGGCGGAAUGUGUCAUGUAGCGGUGAAAUGCUUAGAUAUGACACAGAACACCGAUCGCGAAGGCAGCUCACUAAAUUGUAACUGACGCUCAGGCACGAAAGCGUGGGGAUCAAACA